GAAAAUUCUAGUAGCUUAGUGGUUGGAGUAUCAGCCUCCAACUCUAAAGUACGGGUUCGAAUCCCGCCAAUGAUAAUUUUCA
rnacentral:tRNA from 1 species